rnacentral:rRNA from 1 species
UCAACCNUUGUAGGCUUUGGAAACUGUUUAACUUGAGUGCAGAAGGGGAGAGUGGAAUUCCAUGUGUAGCGGUGAAAUGCGUAGAUAUAUGGAGGAACACCGGUGGCGAAAGCGGCUCUCUGGUCUGUAACUGACGCUGAGGCUCGAAAGCGUGGGGAGCGAACAGGAUUAGAUACCCUGGUAGUCCACGCCGUAAACGAUGAGUGCUAGGUGUUAGGUCCUUUCCGGGACUUAGUGCCGCAGCUAACGCAUUAAGCACUCCGCCUGGGGAGUACGACCGCAAGGUUGAAACUCAAAGGAAUUGACGGGGGCCCGCACAAGCGGUGGAGCAUGUGGUUUAAUUCGAAGCAACGCGAAGAACCUUACCAGGUCUUGACAUCCCGAUGCCCGCUCUAGAGAUAGAGCUUUACUUCGGUACAUCGGUGACAGGUGGUGCAUGGUUGUCGUCAGCUCGUGUCGUGAGAUGUUGGGUUAAGUCCCGCAACGAGCGCAACCCUUAUUGUUAGUUGCCAUCAUUCAGUUGGGCACUCUAGCGAGACUGCCGGUAAUAAACCGGAGGAAGGUGGGGAUGACGUCAAAUCAUCAUGCCCCUUAUGACCUGGGCUACACACGUGCUACAAUGGCUGGUACAACGAGUCGCAAGCCGGUGACGGCAAGCUAAUCUCUGAAAGCCAGUCUCAGUUCGGAUUGUAGGCUGCAACUCGCCUACAUGAAGUCGGAAUCGCUAGUAAUCGCGGAUCAGCACGCCGCGGUGAAUACGUUCCCGGGCCUUGUACACACCGCCCGUCACACCACGAGAGUUUGUAACACCCGAAGUCGGUGAGGUAACCGUAAGGAG